GUAUCGAAGGGACGCUUUGGUCCGGGCGGCACAACCGUCCGGUGAAAAGGGAAUGCGGUGAAAUUCCGCAACUGCCCCCGCAACUGUAAGCGGUGAGCGUGAUCGGCAUAUGCCACUGGGGCAACCCGGGAAGGCCCGAUCCACGCCCAGACCCGCGAAGUCAGGAGACCUGCCAAAGCGAUCACCCUGUC
rnacentral:ncRNA from 2 species